UACGUAGGGGGCUAGCGUUGUCCGGAUUUAUUGGGCGUAAAGAGCGUGUAGGCGGCCAGGUAGGUCCGUUGUGAAAACUCGAGGCUCAACCUCGAGACGUCGGCGGAAACCCUCUGGCUAGAGUCCGGAAGAGGAGAGUGGAAUUCCUGGUGUAGCGGUGAAAUGCGCAGAUAUCAGGAGGAACACCAGCGGCGAAGGCGGCGCUCUGGGCCGGUACUGACACUGAGGAGCGAAAGCGUGGGUAGCAAACAGG
rnacentral:rRNA from 1 species